AUUGAACGCUGGCGGCAUGCCUUACACAUGCAAGUCGAACGGCAGCACGGGAGCAAUCCUGGUGGCGAGUGGCGAACGGGUGAGUAAUAUAUCGGAACGUGCCCAGUAGUGGGGGAUAGCCCGGCGAAAGCCGGAUUAAUACCGCAUACGACCUGAGGGUGAAAGCGGGGGAUCGCAAGACCUCGCGCUAUUGGAGCGGCCGAUAUCAGAUUAGCUAGUUGGUGGGGUAAAGGCCUACCAAGGCUACGAUCUGUAGUUGGUCUGAGAGGACGACCAGCCACACUGGGACUGAGACACGGCCCAGACUCCUACGGGAGGCAGCAGUGGGGAAUUUUGGACAAUGGGCGCAAGCCUGAUCCAGCAAUGCCGCGUGCAGGAAGAAGGCCUUCGGUUGUAAACUGCUUUGUCUAGGAAGAAAUACUUCUGGGCUAAUACCCGGGACGGAGUGACGGUACCUGAAGAAUAAGCACCGGCUAACUACGUGCCAGCAGCCGAC
rnacentral:rRNA from 1 species